AUUCCAGCUCCAAUAGCGUAUAUUAAAGUUGUUGCAGUUAAAAAGCUCGUAGUUGGAUUUCUGUUCUCGAGGAUCGGUCCGCCUCACGGUGAGCACUGGUUUUUCUUGGGGACAUCCUCUCGAAGGCGGGUGGUGCACUUAAUUGUGUGCUGCUUGGAUUCGGGACCUUUACUUUGAAAAAAUUAGAGUGUUCAAAGCAGGCGUCGGCUUGAAUACAUUAGCAUGGAAUAAUGGAAUAGGACUUUGGUUCUAUUUUGUUGGUUUCUAGGACCGAAGUAAUGAUUAAUAGGGAUAGUUGGGGGUAUACAUAUUUAAUUGUCAGAGGUGAAAUUCUUGGAUUUAUGAAAGAUGAACUCAUGCGAAAGCAUUUACCAAGGAUGUUUUCAUUG
rnacentral:rRNA from 1 species